rnacentral:rRNA from 1 species
CGGACGGGUGAGUAAUGUCUGGGAAACUGCCUGAUGGAGGGGGAUAACUACUGGAAACGGUAGCUAAUACCGCAUAACGUCGCAAGACCAAAGAGGGGGACCUUAGGGCCUCUUGCCAUCGGAUGUGCCCAGAUGGGAUUAGCUAGUAGGUGGGGUGACGGCUCACCUAGGCGACGAUCCCUAGCUGGUCUGAGAGGAUGACCAGCCACACUGGAACUGAGACACGGUCCAG